rnacentral:rRNA from 1 species
UGGGGAAUAUUGGACAAUGGGCGAAAGCCUGAUCCAGCAAUGCCGCGUGAGUGAAGAAGGCCUUCGGGUUGUAAAGCUCUUUCAGUUGAGAAGAAAUGAUUAUGGCUAAUAAUCAUAAUUGAUGACGGUAUCAACAGAAGAAGCACCGGCUAACUACGUGCCAGCAGCCGCGGUAAUACGUAGGGUGCGAGCGUUAAUCGGAAUUACUGGGCGUAAAGGGUGCGCAGGCGGUUAUGUAAGUCAGAUGUGAAAUCCCCGGGCUUAACCUGGGAAUUGCGUUUGAAACUACAUGACUAGAGUGUAACAGAGGGAAGUGGAAUUCCAUGUGUAGCAGUGAAAUGCGUAGAGAUAUGGAGGAACAUCGAUGGCGAAGGCAGCUUCCUGGGUUAACACUGACGCUCAUGCACGAAAGCGUGGGGAGCAAACAGGAUUAGAUACCCAAGUAGUCCCUGAGCGGGCUGGCAAGGCGCAU